GCCAACGACCAUACCACGUAGGAACUACUGGUUCUCGUUCGAUCACCAAAGUCAAGCUACGUCGGGCACGGUUAGUACUUGGAUGGGUGACCGCUUGGGAACACCGUGUGUUGUUGAUU
rnacentral:rRNA from 1 species